rnacentral:rRNA from 1 species
GACGAACGCUGGCGGCGUGCCUAAUACAUGCAAGUCGAGCGAACAGACCAGGACCUUGCUCCCCUGACGUUAGCGGCGGACGGGAGAGUCACAUGUGGAUAACCUACCUAUAAGAAUGGUAUAACUUCGGGAAACCGGAGCUAAUACCGGAUAAUUUAUUGAACCGCAUGGUUCCAUAGUGAAAGACGGUUUUGCUGUCACUAAUAGAUGGAUCCGCGGCGCAUCAUCUAGUUGGUAAGGUAACGGCUUAACAAGGCGACGACGGUUAGCCGACCUGAACGGGUGAACGGCCACACGGGAAGUGAGGCACGUCCCAGACUCCGGCGGGGGGCAGCAGUCGGGACUCUUACGCAAUGGGGGAAAGGCUAACGGAGCAACGCCGGGGGAGGGAUGAAGGUCUUCGGAUGGGAAAACUCUGUUAUUAGGGAAGAACAAAUGUGUAAUUAACUAUGCACGUCUUGACGGUACCUGAUCAGAAAGCCACGGCUAACUACGUG